rnacentral:lncRNA from 1 species
CUUGUUCUACCCUUUCCCCGCUUCUCACCACUGAAUUUGACUAGUCUUAAAAAAAUUUUUUUAAACAUUUUAUUUUAGAUUACUUAAAAAAAUUGAUAUACACUUCCUUUCCAUUUGCUUUUCAGGAGUAAUAUUUGUUCCAAAUAAAAUAACCAUUUUAUGUUCAUCUUGCCAGAGUUAGUUAAACUUAAUUCAACAAAUAUUUCCUGACCAGUUUUUGGCCAAAAUGAAAGGAGUGACCAGACAAAGAUUAAUGCCCUAAGGGAAAUUACAUUCUAGAGAGAAGAGGCAAAGGCUUAAACAACAAACAAAAUAAAUUAGUAAGUUAUAUGGAAGGAAAAUGGAAAGAGAAGAUGUGGGUAAUGAGAAUGGGGGGUCAGGGGUGUUCA